rnacentral:sRNA from 1 species
CAGCAUCGAAGCGGCUACUCCUCCUCCCAACGCCGCUCGAUGUGACUGGCAACACUCCUCCUCCCAGUUGUCAGUCCGCUAUCAGAAGCCCACCGGACCUCCUCCCCCGGUGGGUUUCUUAU